GAUGAACGCUGGCGGCGUGCCUAAUACAUGCAAGUCGAGCGAAGCGGGGACGGGUGAGUAACACGUGGAUAACCUCCUAUAAGACUGGGAUAACUUCGGGAAACCGGAGCUCAACCGGAAAAUUAGAGAUGGAGCCGCGCUGCAUUAGAUAGUGGGUAAGGUAACUGGUUACCAAGGCAACGAUGCAUAGCCGACCUGCGAGGGUGAUCGGCAAAACUGGAACUGAGACACGGUCCAUACUCCUACGGUAGGCAGCAGUAGGGAAUCUUCCGCAAUGGGCGAAGUCCUGACGGAGCAACUCCGCGUGAGUGAUGAAGGUCUUCGGAUCGUAAAACUCUUUUAUUAGGGAAGCGGUACCUAAACAGAAAGCCACGGCUAACUACGUGCCAGCAGCCGCGGUAAUAC
rnacentral:rRNA from 1 species